rnacentral:hammerhead_ribozyme from 1 species
AUCCAGUUGACGAGUCCCAAAUAGGUUGACACGCGUGUCCUGUAU